rnacentral:rRNA from 1 species
GACGAACGCUGGCGGCGUGCUUAACACAUGCAAGUCGAACGGAAAGGCCCUGCUUUUGUGGGGUGCUCGAGUGGCGAACGGGUGAGUAACACGUGAGUAACCUGCCCUUGACUUUGGGAUAACUUCGGGAAACUGGGGCUAAUACCGGAUAGGAGCUCCUGCUGCAUGGUGGGGGUUGGAAAGUUUCGGCGGUUGGGGAUGGACUCGCGGCUUAUCAGCUUGUUGGUGGGGUAGUGGCUUACCAAGGCUUUGACGGGUAGCCGGCCUGAGAUGGUGACCGGCCACAUUGGGCCUGGGAUACGGCCCAGACUCCUACGGGAGGCAGCAGUGGGGAAUAUUGCACAAUGGGCGGAAGCCUGAUGCAGCAACGCCGCGUGCGGGAUGACGGCCUUCGGGUUGUAAACCGCUUUCGCCUGUGACGAAGCGUGAGUGACGGUAAUGGGUAAAGAAGCACCGGCUAACUACGUG